GGGGACGUUUUGGAUCUUGACAGAACGUUUUGGUGCCAACAGGCAGCGGGUCGGAGAGCUGUUCUUCGUCAUCAACGAGCAAAACAAAUUAAAUGCUAACAAUGUAAUCAAAGCAGAUUUCGCUCCUGCAUACGCAGUUGCAGCCUAAUCCUGCCUAAGUAGCUACUCAUAUUGCCCAUCUUGCCGGUGGUAUGGGUCAAUUAUGCAAGAUGCAGUGUAUUGACACAAAGUAGAUACAUUAAGUUAACUUUGUAAGGUUUAGAGUUUCCUUUAAAUAAAACCUUGGGUUGAGGUUUAAGGUUUAGACAUUUUCCUUAAUCAACCGAGAUAAAAAUUGCCUACACUCGUAGAAGUUUGUUGGUAUCCGUUUUGGACGCGGGUUCGACUCCCGCCGUCUCCACCA
rnacentral:tmRNA from 1 species